rnacentral:rRNA from 1 species
GCUCAGUAACACGUGGACAACCUGCCCUGAGGACUGGAAUAAUCCCGGGAAACUGGGGGUAAUUCCAGAUAUGUCAGAACUCCUGGAAUGGGUUCUGGCAGAAAGGCUCCGGCGCCUCAGGAUGGGUCUGCGGCCUAUCAGGGUAGUAGUGGGUGUAACGUACCUACUAGCCUACCACGGGUACGGGUUGUGAGAGCAAGAGCCCGGAUAUGGAUUCUGAGACAUGAAUCCGGGCCCUACGGGGUGAAGCAGGCGCUAAACCUUUACAAUGCGGGCAACCGCGAUAAGGGGACCUCGAGUGCUGGGUUACAAACCUGGCUGUUGGGCUGCCUAAAAAGCAGUCUAUAGCAAGGGCCGGGCAAGACCGGUGCCAGCCGCCGCGGUAACACCGGCGGCUCGAGUGGUAACCGCUGUUAUUGGGUCUAAAGGGUCUGUAGCCUGCCGGCUAAGUCCCUUGGGAAAUCUGGCAUUUAAAGUGUCACGCUGCCAGGGGAUACUGGUCAACUUGCCACCGGGAUAAGUGAGAAGUACCUCAAGUCUAGGGGUGACC